rnacentral:rRNA from 1 species
GAUUAACGCUGGCGGCGUGCAUAACACAUGCAAGUCGAACGAUGAAACUUAGUAUACUUCUUCGGAAAGACACUACGCGGAUUAGUGGCGAACGGGUGAGUAACGCAUGAGUCACCUGCCUUACACAAGGGGAUAGCCUUUGGCAAAGAAGAAUAAUACCUCCUAAGACUAUACACGCACAUGCUAAAAUGGUUAAAGUGGUAGCGGUGUAAGAUGGACUUGCUUCUGAUUAGCUAUUUGGAGAGGAAAAGGCACACUAAGGCAACGAUCAGUGGCGGGCUGAGAGGAGGGUACGGCCACAUGGGAAUGGGAACACGGCCCAGACUCCUAGGGGAGGCGGCAGUGGGAAAAUUUGCACAAGGGGGGAAACCCGGAUGCGGCGUGGCCGGGUAAUUUAGAAGGCCUUCGGGUUGUAAAGAUCUUUUGUAUAGGAAGAAAAUGACAGUACUAGACGAAUAAGGUCCGGCUAAUUACGUG